rnacentral:rRNA from 1 species
GACGAACGCUGGCGACGUGCUUAACACAUGCAAGUCGAACGGAAAGGCCCUGCUUGCAGGGUACUCGAGUGGCGAACGGGUGAGUAACACGUGGGUGAUCUGCCCUGCACUUCGGGAUAAGCCUGGGAAACUGGGUCUAAUACCGGAUAGGAGCCAUUUUUAGUGUGAUGGUUGGAAAGUUUUUUCGGUGUAGGAUGAGCUCGCGGCCUAUCAGCUUGUUGGUGGGGUAAUGGCCUACCAAGGCGGCGACGGGUAGCCGGCCUGAGAGGGUGGACGGCCACAGUGGGACUGAGAUACGGCCCAGACUCCUACGGGAGGCAGCAGUGGGGAAUAUUGCACAAUGGGCGCAAGCCUGAUGCAGCGACGCCGCGUGGGGGAUGACGGCCUUCGGGUUGUAAACUCCUUUCGCUAGGGACGAAGCUUUUUGUGACGGUACCUAGAGAAGAAGCACCGGCUAACUACGUG